rnacentral:rRNA from 1 species
GACGAACGCUGGCGGCGUGCUUAACACAUGCAAGUCGAACGAAGUGGAGAACGGGUGAGUAACGCGUAAACACCCUGCCAUUCAGCGGGGGACAACAGUUGGAAACGACGGCUAAUACCGUAUACUGAAGGAGGGGCUUGCGUCUGAUUAGCUAGGUGGAGGGGAAACGGCCCACCAAGGCGAUGAUCAGUAGGCGGACUGAGAGGAGGAACGGCCACAUUGGGACGUGGACACGGCCCAGACUCCUACGGGAGGCAGCAGUGGGGAAUCUUCCGGAAUGGACGGAAGUUUGACGGGGCAACGCCGCGUGAAUGAUGACGGCUUUCGGGUUGUAAAGCUCUGUUAAUCGGGACACGGUACCUGAAUAGAAAGCCACGGCUAACUACGUGCCAGCCGCCGCGGUAAUAC